rnacentral:rRNA from 1 species
CAGUAGCCGCGGUAACACGAAGGGUGUAAGCGUUAAUCGGAAUUACUGGGCGUAAAGGGUGCGUAGGCGGUUGUUUAAGUCUGUUGUGAAAUCCCCGAGCCUAACUUGGGAACUGCAUUUGAAACUGGCAAGCUAGAGUCUUGUAGAGGGGGGUAGAAUUCCAGGUGUAGCGGUGAAAUGCGUAGAGAUCGGGAGGAACAUCAGUGGCGAAGGCGGCUCACUGGCUCGAUACUGACGCUGAGGUGCGAAAGCGUGGGGAGCAAACGGGAUUAGAUACCCCCGUAGUCCCUGUCUCUUAUAC